UGCUUUAGUAGCAGUAGGGCUGGGCGAUAUGGAAUAAAUGAAAUAUCACGAUAUUCUUGAACAAAUACCUCAAUGUCAAUAUUGCGACAAUGGUGUAAGGUUCACAACUGGUG